UACGUAGGGGGCUAGCGUUGUCCGGAAUCAUAGGGCGUAAAGCGCGUGUAGGCGGCCCGGUAAGUCCGCUGUGAAAGUCGGGGGCUCAACCCUCGGAAGCCGGUGGAUACUGUCGGGCUCGAGUACGGAAGAGGCGAGUGGAAUUCCUGGUGUAGCGGUGAAAUGCGCAGAUAUCAGGAGGAACACCAAUUGCGAAGGCAGCUCGCUGGGACGUAACUGACGCUGAGACGCGAAAGCGUGGGGAGCAAACAGG
rnacentral:rRNA from 1 species